GCUCCAUGAGUUUUGUUGUCUAUUUGGGUUGUGCAGGAUUUUGAAGCAUAAGAGGAGUGAGACCGAACAUGCAGGCCACAAGAGUGAAUGACUAUGUCAACAUCCAGGUUGGGGGAGGUGUUGAUAUUUGGGAACGCAAUAAGGAAUUGAUCCGCAAGCGCACGGAUAUCGGUGAGCACGUCACCCGGGAGGUUAUCCAGAGUAUCGUAUUUAUUUUUUUGCCACU
rnacentral:lncRNA from 1 species